CCUAUCUCCCUGCUCAAGGCAGGAGACCCUCUACCAUUCCAGACAAGGGGCUGUCCAGUCUCUCUUUGAAGGCCUCCAGUGAUGGAGCCCCCACAACCUCUGGAGGGAAGCCGUUCCACUGGUCAAUUGUUCUCACUGUCAGGAAAUUCCUCCUUAGUUCUGGGAUGGCGGUUCUAACUCUUCAAGAAGUAGAGCAGAAUUUAUAAAAAGGUAGAAAACAUAUUAAAAAGAAAGAGAAGCUUAUAAAAAUACAUACAAAAAUCAAUGAAAAUUUUAAAAACCACACAAAAAUAUAUGUAUUAAAAUGUAAGAAGAGAGAGAGAGAGAGAGAAUCAGAGGUGGCAUUCAGCCGGUUCGCACCUGCUCAGGAGAAACCGGCAGCGAUAAUUUGGCGGGGAUCUCCGAACAGGUAGCGACUUCUGGCUGGCCACGCCCCCGAACCGGUUCCUGGUGGCAGCUCGCUCACUUGCCCCGCCCUACGCUCGCCCCGCCCAGUCACUCCUCACACUCCCCACAAUGGGUCCUCGUGGCUUAACCUGCUUUCCAACAUGAUGCCUGGCCCUACGUCCCAACUGAGCACCUCUGAUCUUCCUGCUGAAAGCAGAUGGAGGAGGGAGUCUGCUGGCCCAAUGCCUGCCAGCCUUCCUGAGGAGCCAGCCGCCAUGUCCUUCAUGGGCCAGAGCUUGCGACCAUCGGAGCUCCACCUCGGACCCUGAUGGAUGCCUCCCUCCUGGCGCUUCCCUUCCAGACAGCCAGGGUCUUCCUCGGCAGCAUUGAGAAGAGUCGCCUGCAGUGCACCUCAGCUGAUUCACCCUUUCUGGACCUAUGGAAAGUUUGGUAUUCUUCUACAAUAGAAAACAGGCUUUGUGGUGACUGGGAGCCGACUUCUGAGCUCAAAUCUCCAAUGGAGCAACUCGACUCUUCAAAGAGCUCCAGGAAACACUGCAGCUUCUGUUUCGAAUUUGGACAGAAUCAGGGUAAUGAAAUGUGUUGAAAUCUUCUCUUAAAACAAAUGAUGGGACAUUCAGAUUUGUUUAUUGCAGGCCGGAAGUCAUUUACACGCAAGAUAAAGUAUGAGUGGUGAGGUGGCCUAGAGGUGGAACUCUGGUCUCACAAUCAGGAGGCUGUGAGUUCUAUCUUAGGUGGAGGCAGAUGUUGCUCUCUCUGGGAACACUGAGAAUAUUAUCUGCCUGACAAAACUCCGCAUCGGUGACAGGAAGGGCAUCCGGCCAUUAAAACACUCUGCUAGAUCCAUUCAGUUGCCCAGAUUCCACCCCUCCAGGGAUUAUGAGGUCAUUAAAUGAAGAAUUACCUUUGCUCAAAACUGGAAACAAGAUGACACUCACUUGGACGUAAUGGUAAUAAGAAAGAUCUUUGAGUGUGCAGAGAUGGAUAGGUUAACUAUGGAGUUAAAAGACAGAGAAGAAACGGAAUGCUAUAAGAUCUGGAAUGGAUGGUGCCAGUGGUUAGAGAACAGACGUAAAGUUGUUACAGGAAGAAUAUGUAGGAGGUAUAGUAAAAGGAGGAAGUAUUGCAUAUAUAUUUGUAAAUAUUGUAAAUAUUGUUAUAAGUUAAAAGUAGGAAAAAACUAUAUAACAUAAUAGAGCAGUAAAAAUUAUAUCACUAUGAGUGAAUACCAUAACCUGAACGCUGUAAUGAGUGUAAAUGUGAUGUUUUAAUUUGAAAUACGACUAAUAAAAAUUUACUUUGUAAAAAAAAAAUCAAGAUGAGAUGAUACUAUGGCACCCUUGGUGCUCUCUGAGCUUGGUUGUUUUCUUGCAGUCAUUUCAUGUUGAUGUUACAUUACAUUAGGUAACAUCAGUGUAGAAGGGACUGGGUUUACUCUAUGUCUAUAAGUCACCCGCCCUGUCAGUGUUGGUGGGAGUGUGGUUUUCUUCUUGG
rnacentral:lncRNA from 1 species